rnacentral:rRNA from 1 species
UAGGGAAUCUUCCACAAUGGGCGCAAGCCUGAUGGAGCAACACCGCGUGAGUGAAGAAGGGUUUCGGCUCGUAAAACUCUGUUGUUGGAGAAGAAUGUGCGUAAGAGUAACUGUUUACGCAGUGACGGUAUCCAACCAGAAAGUCACGGCUAACUACGUGCAAG